GUAAAGCGCACGCAGGCGGUCUGUUAAGCUAGAUGUGAAAGCCCCGCGCUCAACGUGGGAGGGUCAUUUAGAACUGGCAGGCUAGAGUCUUGGAGAGGGAGUGGAAUUCCAGGUGUAGCGGUGAAAUGCGUAGAGAUCUGGAGGAACAUCAAUGGCGAAGGCAACUCCCUGGCCAAAGACUGACGCUCAUGUGCGAAAGUGUGGGUAGCGAACAGGAUUAGAUACCCUGGUAGUCCACACCGUAAACGCUGUCUACUAGCUGUUUGUGGAUUUAAUCCGUGAGUAGCGAAGCUAACGCGAUAAGUAGACCGCCUGGGGAGUACGGCCGCAAGGUUAAAACUCAAAUGAAUUGACGGGGGCCCGCACAAGCGGUGGAGCAUGUGGUUUAAUUCGAAGCAACGCGAAGAACCUUACCUACACUUGACAUCCAGAGAAUUUAGCAGAGAUGCUUUAGUGCCUUCGGGAACUCUGAGACAGGUGCUGCAUGGCU
rnacentral:rRNA from 1 species